UUAAACUGGGGGGUCAAUACCGGAUAGGACCACGGGAUGCAUGUCUUGUGGUGGAAAGCGCUUUAGCGGUGUGGGAUGAGCCCGCGGCCUAUCAGCUUGUUGGUGGGGUGACGGCCUACCAAGGCGACGACGGGUAGCCGGCCUGAGAGGGUGUCCGGCCACACUGGGACUGAGAUACGGCCCAGACUCCUACGGGAGGCAGCAGUGGGGAAUAUUGCACAAUGGGCGCAAGCCUGAUGCAGCGACGCCGCGUGGGGGAUGACGGCCUUCGGGUUGUAAACCUCUUUCACCAUCGACGAAGGUCCGGGUUCUCUCGGAUUGACGGUAGGUGGAGAAGAAGCACCGGCCAACUACGUGCCAGCAGCUGCGGUAAUACGUAGGGUGCGAGCGUUGUCCGGAAUUACUGGGCGUAAAGAGCUCGUAGGUGGUUUGUCGCGUUGUUCGUGAAAUCUCACGGCUUAACUGUGAGCGUGCGGGCGAGCC
rnacentral:rRNA from 1 species